rnacentral:lncRNA from 1 species
CAUCCAGACAAUAGACAGAUACAUAUAUAUACCAUCACACACACAGAGUCCACAACGAGCACAUACAUCUCACGAACAUCACAUAUAUAUAUCACGAACAUCAUGUAUGUACAUCCAGUAGUCCACAAGUUCACCAAAUCAAACCAAAGUUCCAAACCGCCGACACGUACACACCGUAGGGCUGCGAGAACUCACCCUCCUCCCCAACCGUCCUGCCUCUGCGUCGAGGGUGGUGUGUCGAAGGCUCCAGGAUCCGGUGACGUACGAGGCGGGUUAUUGGAUCCCCUGUCGACUGAGGCUGCACAAACAGUU